GAGCUUGACAGUAUAGCUGCGGAACUGGAAAAUGACAUUGAGAGGGCACAGUCAAAAACAACAGACAUAAGAUCCAAAUUAAAGCAACCAUCGAGCGUUAGAAUGG